CCUACGGGAGGCAGCAGUGGGGAAUAUUGGGCAAUGGAGGAAACUCUGACCCAGCGACGCCGCGUGCGGGAUGAAGGCCUUCGGGUUGUAAACCGCUUUCAGCAGGGAAUAAGCGCAAGUGAAGGUACCUGCAGAAGAAGCACCGGCUAACUAUGUGCCAGCAGCCGCGGUAAUACAUAGGGUGCAAGCGUUGUCCGGAAUUAUUGGGCGUAAAGAGCUCGUAGGUGGUUUGUUACGUCGGUUGUGAAAUUCAGGGGCUCAACCCCUGACUCGCAGCCGAUACGGGCAAGCUAGAGUUUGGUAGGGGAGACUGGAAUUCCUGGUGUAGCGGUGGAAUGCGCAGAUAUCAGGAGGAACACCGAUGGCGAAGGCAGGUCUCUGGGCCAAUACUGACACUGAGGAGCGAAAGCGUGGGGAGCGAACAGGAUUAGAUACCCUGGUAGUCCACGCCGUAAACGGUGGGCGCUAGUUGUGCGAACCUUCCACGGUUUGUGCGACGCAGCUAACGCAUUAAGCGCCCGCCUGGGGAGUACGAUCGCAAGNUUAAAACUCAAAGUAGUUAGUUAGGCGUUGUUAGAGAGCGACGACGACGACGACGGAGGAGGAGG
rnacentral:rRNA from 1 species